rnacentral:rRNA from 1 species
UACAGAGGGUGCAAGCGUUAAUCGGAAUUACUGGGCGUAAAGCGCGCGUAGGCGGCUGAUUAAGUCGGGUGUGAAAGCCCCGGGCUCAACCUGGGAAUUGCAUCCGAUACUGAUUGGCUAGAGUACGAGAGAGGGAGGUAGAAUUCCACGUGUAGCGGUGAAAUGCGUAGAUAUGUGGAGGAAUACCGGUGGCGAAGGCGGCCUCCUGGCUUAAUACUGACGCUGAGGUGCGAAAGCGUGGGGAUCAAACAGG